UAAUUGAAGAGUUUGAUCAUGGCUCAGAUUGAACGCUGGCGGCAGGCCUAACACAUGCAAGUCGAGCGGCAGCACAGAGAAACUUGUUUCUCGGGUGGCGAGCGGCGGACGGGUGAGUAAUGCCUGGGAAAUUGCCCUGAUGUGGGGGAUAACCAUUGGAAACGAUGGCUAAUACCGCAUGAUAGCUUCGGCUCAAAGAGGGGGACCUUCGGGCCUCUCGCGUCAGGAUAUGCCCAGGUGGGAUUAGCUAGUUGGUGAGGUAAGGGCUCACCAAGGCGACGAUCCCUAGCUGGUCUGAGAGGAUGAUCAGCCACACUGGAACUGAGACACGGUCCAGACUCCUACGGGAGGCAGCAGUGGGGAAUAUUGCACAAUGGGCGCAAGCCUGAUGCAGCCAUGCCGCGUGUGUGAAGAAGGCCUUCGGGUUGUAAAGCACUUUCAGUCGUGAGGAAGGUGGUAGUGUUAAUAGCACUAUCA
rnacentral:rRNA from 1 species